GCUGAGAUGGCUGGAUCAGAAGCCCUUAUGCCACAAAAUUUCCUUCUUCCCCGCCACUGUUCUCAUCUAACCUGCUGCUGCAACCCCAUUUAUUGCUGGAUGGCCCAGCUGGCCUGAAGGUCAGACCAGUUACAAGCCAGGAUGCCCCUGAGCCACAUUCUGAGGUCUCCAGCUCCCAGCUACGACAGCUGUCAGCAAAGCAAGAGGUGCCUGAUGAUGCAGGAAAAAACAACCUGUCACCCUUCAGAGCAGGAAACCGGUUCCGUCAUCCCACACCACGACUCACGUGGGAAAGAGAAGUUAAAGCACAGUUACCACAAAGGAGCAGGAUUAUUACAAUAAGGAUGAGGCAUGUUCUGUGUGAGUCCUGCUCGUGGUCUGUGUAUUUAUAUUGAUGAGAGGAAAAGUUAAAAUGGGUCAAGGAAAAAGAGAUUUUUGAAGAAAACAAUAUCUUGUACAUUUAAAUGUUCUAACUUUUGUCAAAUAAGGGUAAAGUCGCUUACUACAAAAUGCCUCAGCAUCACAAAACUCAGCAGAAACACUCCUUUUGUUAACCAGGGAACAAGUUAUUUCAUUUUAUUGCUGCCAAAUAACCCUGUAAACCUGCUACAGCCACACUUUUCCCAUCAACCUGACCCCUGCCACCCCUGAAUCUAAAGGCUGAGCUUUCCCAUAGCAGCUACUACACGUUCAAACCUCUCACCGCUUCCCUUUGGUGCCCCCAUGAAGCCGAGCACCCCAAACCCACCCAUGCAGCCCCUGAGGAGCACCUCACCUCGGAACAGCACACAGCCGAACAGCCAGAGGAGCGGAUGGAUGGAUGGAGCCAGCAUCUUCUCGGUGGCUUGUGGCUGUGCAGCCCUGCUGAGGCUCUGUCCAUCCCGGGAGGGACAAGAGGGUGAGGAGCGAUUUGCCUGCCUGGGCUGACUCUCACAGAGCUUCCUGUUAAAGAAUAGAAGGAAACGGGCUGAAUCCACAGGGGAACUGUGUUUUUUAGCCCAUUAUGGUCGGAGAGGAUGUGAGACAUCGCUUGCCGAUGCAAAGGAAACCUCGCCAUCAGUUGGUGGGGGGAUUCAGCUCUUGUAGCGGGGGAGAGCAGUGGCACAGUGAGCCUGGCCUGGCUUGGGCCUCGGCAGCUGCUUUACGGUGCUUGGGGUUUUUGGGAGUUGCUUUGUUUGCUGCUCCAUGCCCUGCACCUCCCUGUGCAGCUCCAGUGAGUCUGGGCACCAGGAUGUGCUGGGUUUGGGACGCUGGCUCUGGGAUGCUGUUUUUCAGGUAGCAGCAGCAUCCUUCCUGCAGGACAUGCAGCA